rnacentral:sRNA from 1 species
UUCAAUGCGCAGUCUUUAAUGUCCGCCUGAUUUCCCUUCCUGGUCAUUGUAAUUAUAGCAAAAAAGGCUUUCCAUGGCUUUGGACAUCGCAGCUGCAAUCCACCCAUAAAGCCGCUCUAAAUUGGUGAAGUUUUGGCGUCUUCCGGGUGGCAGUUAGCCAUUAACGACGCGUGAAGCUGCAGCAGCAGCAACAUCAUCCGCAGUGGCAGCAACCCAAACAGCUGCUUAAUCAGGGAACUUGGAUACCCAAAUCCACUCCCCAGUUGGCUGAUAAUACCCCGGUACGGGUAUUGUCGAAGUCGAUGGCCAGAAUCGCGGAAGUGCCAAGAAAAAUGCGUGUUGCUGUUGCUGAUGCGAUGUUGUUGCUGCUGCCGCUGCUGCUGUUUCUGCUGAUUUUGCUGCUGUUGUUGUUGCAGCUGGGCGUUGAACCCAAAGGCGGGUGCACUUGCCGCCGCCGCCUCGAGCGAUGCGUUGUCAACUAUUUGCGGAGGAUUGUGGGGGAAUUCUGGGGAAUGGCGGCGCAUCAUAAUCAUUUAUUUUCGCACUAGACAACAACACAAAGUGCGCUGGCUAAUUUUAUAAACUUAUUUUCUUCUGCAUCGCCAGUGAUUUGUUUUUUUGUUCCUUUUUUGUAUUAUUUUUUCAGUUUGCAUUUACGUUUUUUUAUGACAUUUACUAAGACAUUCUUAUGCCGGGCACGUUGGUUGGGAGGGGGGAGGGGGAAGAACGCACAGAGGGGCGUCCGCAGUGAUUGACAUUUAGAAGUCAACGUUCGGGUGGCUUUGUUGCUGCUGCUGCUGCGGUGGCUUUGCCGUCAUUGUCUUUGUCAACCACCCACCCAAAGGCCCUCCCCCUGAUUACCACCCCUUUAAGUGUGCGACAUUUCUUGGCAAUUUAUCGAUGGUUUGUGACAUUAAUUGUGUGCGAGGGCGGGGGUCCCAUAAUUGCACUGCGAUAUGAAUCAAGUGGGUGUCCCCUCGAUGGCAACUAUAAUUGCAAUUGAGUUGUGUCAACUAAUUAUUCAUAUAAUGGUUAUGGCUUUGCCAAGCCACAGAAAGUAUUUGUUUGGCGGGGAAUUCCCACGAACAAUGACAAUUUCUGUGCCGUGUUUGCCAAUUUGUUCACCUGUGAUCUUCUCAUUUCGGGUAAAUAGAUUCAAAUUACGCAUAAGCUCUCUGGAAAGUUACUGACUCACAGAAAAAAGUACAUUUCCUCAGUUGCAAGUGAUGCAGAAAUGUGCCAAUUGCACAGCAAGCUGUGAAUAAGCGUUUGUUUGCAAGGGUCACGGGGUUCAACAAACUCAAGAGAACAAGGAAUGUGGGUGAUGAUUCCCUACUGCAUUUUUUGAAGAAGAGCAGAGUAUUUUCACGAAUUAAAUCAUUAUGUAAGAAAAGUUCCCAACAAAAGUAGAGUAAUUAAUAUCAAAAUUAUGCUAUGCAUAAGUAUCUGUUGCGAUAUUUGGUGCACUGAAUCUGCACACUGCUCAGAAUUUUGUUAAAAUAUUAGUAAUAUUUUCUAAAGUAACAUAUAAUGCGACAAUAGUGUGAGUUUGGGAGUAUCUUUGUUUGAUUCGCUCUUUUGACUGCCUCAAAUCGCUUGCAUUAAUUUAAUUAUACGUUUGUGCCUCUAAUGUGGUUUUUAGCUUUUUGCAGGCUUAGCAAGGCGACAAGGUGUUAAUUGAACUAUAAAUAGAGGGACAACUGCAGCCGCAAUCGGCGGCAACAUCUACCGGGCGGAUACAAACGAGUUUCGUUGUAAUUGGCGGACAGAUUGCUCGCGUCGCCGGCGAUGUUGCUGCGGGGCACGCAUGCGUAGCACGGCAGCAACAUGCGACACACAGACGAGAACAAUGAGCCGCAGCAAAGGCGAGUGCAUAAAUUAACAUUAGCAAUUAGUCAGAGGGAAUAUGUUGCAACACCUGGGGGCAACGACAGCGGCAGAAGCAUCAGAAAUAAAUCGCAACGCAGAUUGACUCAUUUAAGCGGCAACAGGUGCUGGUGAAAUCCGCUUUUGUUAAUUUAUUAAAUUGUUUUACGAUCGAUUUUUCAUUUCUGGCCGAACUGUUUACUCAACUUUUCGCUAAAAAAUGUUUACAAACGAGUCGCGCGCAAUAACAACACUUUGAAUACGUAAUUAAAAAAUUAAACGAUGUUUCGGCGGCUACAAAUUUUGGCAAUAUUUUAUUUACUUUGCGCCGUUCCUGUUUGUGUUCUUGCUUUUAUUGCAUUUUGUGUUUGCUGUUGCGGCUGAUUUGCCCCGCGAAAAGUCAUAAACACUGCGAGCAUUGGACCCGCUUCUCUCGGCAAGAAGGGGUACUUCCGGAGGGGAUUUCGACCGGCAAGUUGGGCAAUGGCAGCGGAAGCAGCUCACCAGCUCAACAGUUCAGCGCCAAAGCCACAACGGCAACGAACGGCGACUGAAAGUGAAAGGCGCCGGGGGAAUUUCAAAGGAAGCGGAAGCUGGCGCUCGGGGAGUUCAAUCUCGAACGGAAUCGAAAUCCGUAGGUUUGCUGAACUUCGUGAGGAAAUCGAUAAGAGGUUUAAUGAGAUUCGGAGAGAUAUUCGUGAACUGAAUACCCCAAAAUUGUGAAGAAACGUAUACUGUCAGCUGGAAUGGAGGAACGCAGAACGCAAGUAUCUAUGUAGCUUUAAAGAUCGAUUCUGAACAUCUGUAAUAACCAUUGUUGCUUUCAAUUGAUAUUUUACUACCGCUAGGACUUGGAAAACCUGCAUUCAAAGACCGUGCAGAAUGUUUUCUUUGUAUUCUCUAUCGUUCUGCCUAUUGCCAAAUAGUAAUACAAUUUCGCGAGCGAAACAAUGGCGAAAAUAAAGCUGUGGAAGCGGCCAAACUUUAAUGUAA